UCGGUAUAUAGUGUUGAAAGGAAAAGAGAGAAUAGCUCAAGGAAGCUUUUCUGGAAAAAAGAUCAAGCGGUCCAAGACAAAAAUGCCAAAGACAUGCACAGGCCAAGCAUAUCAACUCUUGUUUGAGGAAGAAAAAACUUUGAACCUCUUCAGCCAUUUUCUCGCUAGCAUGAUACUCUCUCUCAAUCCCGUCAGACCGCAAGAAAAUAACUUACUAGAAGGAUUUCUAUGUUCCAUUCUGGAGCAUGUGGGUAGGGCGCUCUCCCUCUUCGUGUUUAAAGAAUUAUAUUCUAAUCCGGACCUACGUCUCAAUCCCGCCAAACUUCCUAUGCCCGGCAAUUUCGAUAAAGAGCAUCCCACCAGGGAGGAGAUUGCCGUUGCCCAACGUGCGGCGGAAUGCGAAGCUAAGCAUUUAAUCUGGAUUCUCGAACGGGCGAUGGCAUUCGCAGACCAAUUCGAACGUGCGAGUGACGAGACGAAAAACGAUAUGAUUUCAACCGAAACAACUCCCUCUGGAGGCCCAUUCCAGGGAAUACUGCAUCGCGCAAGGACCAAGUUGCAAAAUACUCUUUUGAAAGGUAUUUUCGGGG
rnacentral:sRNA from 1 species